AACGAACGCUGGCGGCAUGCCUAACACAUGCAAGUCGAACGAGACCUUCGGGUCUAGUGGCGCACGGGUGCGUAACGCGUGGGAACCUGCCCUUAGGUUCGGAAUAACUCCCCGAAAGGGGUGCUAAUACCGGAUAAUGUCUUCGGACCAAAGAUUUAUCGCCUUUGGAUGGGCCCGCGUUGGAUUAGCUAGUUGGUAGGGUAAAAGCCUACCAAGGCGACGAUCCAUAGCUGGUCUGAGAGGAUGAUCAGCCACACUGGAACUGAGACACGGCCCAGACUCCUACGGGAGGCAGCAGUGGGGAAUAUUGGACAAUGGGCGAGAGCCUGAUCCAGCAAUGCCGCGUGAGUGAUGAAGGCCUUAGGGUUGUAAAGCUCUUUUACCCGGAAUGAUAAUGACAGUACCGAGAGAAUAAGCUCCGGCUAACUCCGUG
rnacentral:rRNA from 1 species